CUGCUGUUGUCUUCAUGGGACUAGCCUUCCUCGUCUUCUGGCUCAUAGUCCGCCCCACCAAAGUCAAGUUCCACGUCACCGACGCCACGCUCACCCAAUUCAACUUCUCCACCGAUAGCAACCUGCAUUACAACCUCGCCCUCAACCUCACCAUCAGAAACCCUAACAAGAAGAUCGGCGUUUACUAUGAUCGCAUUGAAGCCAGAGCUCUGUACGAGGGCCAGAGGUUCAGUACGGUUACUCUGACCCCAUUUUACCAAGGCCACAAGACCACAAACAUAUUGAACCCUGUGUUUCAGGGACAGCAAUUGAUUGUUGGAUCUGACUUGCUUGAGGAGUUUAAUGAACAGAAGACUGCUGGGGUUUACAAGAUUGAGAUGAAGCUUUAUCUGAGGAUUCGGUUCAGGUUGGGUAAGAUCAAAACCGGGAAGUUCAAGCCUAGAAUUGAAUGUGACUUGAAGGUUCCUGUGAGUCAGAAUGGGACUUUAGUUGGAACUUUUCAGACUGAGAAGUGUUCAGUUGAUUUCUUCAACUAUCGAUAAGUUAUUUCUGUUAAUUAGUCCACGGCGGAGAAGAGAGCCCUAGCUUCAUUCUUGUGGAUGGUGCAUUGAUACUCCAUUAUGCUUUCUUAUACGGGUUGUGGACUUGUGGGUGUCUUUGAUAUUCUUUAAUUUUUUUAUUCGGCCCUAACAUACGUAUUUACAUUUAUGAUCCUCCAUUUGUUAUUAUAUUACAUUUGCACUCUUUAUAUUACUCAUUAACUAAUUUGUCACUUUCAUUACAGUAUUUUACAUCUACAUAUAGAGUAUUGGAAAGAGAAGCAAGAAGCUCAGCAAGAGGGUUUUUUAAAAUUUGCGUAAACCUACUAUACAACCUUGGUUGGUAUUUUGGGCAUAAAUUUAUGUGGGGUGGUAUCUACAUCUUUAUAUCUUCACACCCUCUGACUAACUAACUAAUAAAUCAUAAAUGUGAAAAAAAUUCACCUUCCUUACAAUCUAGCAAACACACGACGUAAAACCUGGUGAAAGAUGUUCAUCCGGUGGUUGUACAAUCAAUAUCAACCAUUGUUGUCAUAUUAACGAUGUGUCAACUCCUCUCGAAGCCCCAUUUUUAGUUUUUUCUCACAUAAUUUUAAAAGGGUCAAUUACAUAUAAGUCUAUUUAGAGACAUUUUCUCCCAUAUAAGUUCACCUAAACAUUUUUACCUAUAGAAGUCCACCCAAUCAUAAAUAGAGUCUUAUAUUAGGUAUUAAAGUUCAACAAAAUUACAGACUGCCAUCCAACCAAAAAAAUUAGAUUUUCUCUCUUAUAUUUACAAAAAUACCACUAAUGUAAAAAGUCAACAAUCACAAAUGGUCUCCGGUUGACCUCCGGGGAGGUCUCCGGCCGACCUCCGGCGAACUUUCCAGCCGACCAUCUGUGAGGAUUCUAGCGACCACAAAAGUUACUACCACUGACAAAAAAAACUACUACCACUGACAACAAAAGAUACUACCGAUAGAAAAAAAAAUUACUGCCACCAGCAAAGAAAGCUACUACCGAUAGCAACAAAAACUACUACCACUAACAACAAAAUAUACUACCGAUAGCAAAAGAGGCUACUGCCACCAACAAAGAAAACUACUACCGAUAGCAACAAAAGCUACUACCGCCAGCAAAAAAAGCUACUACCACUGACAACAAAAAAUACUGUCACCAUCAACAAAAACUACUAUCACAGGCUAUAAAAGCUACUACCAUCGGCUAUAAAAGCUACUAUGGUGAGAUUUCUGACAACCUCCGGUAAGGUCACAAAAGAUAUUAUCACUGGUAACAAAAAAUACUACCGAACAUAACAAAAACUACUACCACCAGCUACAAAAGCUACUAUGCUGAGAUUCCAAUGACCUUCGGCAAGGUCACAAAAGAUAUUGUCACCAGCUAUAAAAGAUACUACCGAGUAUAUGAAAAGUUACUGUCACCAACAAAAAAAGCUACUAUUUCAAGCUAUAAAAGAUACUACCAAGCAAAUGAAAAACUACUACAAGGUAGAACAAAAGCUACUGCCACCACCUAUAAAAGAUACUACCGAACAUAUGAAAAACUACUACCAAGCAGAACAAAAGCUACUGUCACCAACAAAAAAAUCUACUAUCACCAACAAAAAAAUCUACUAUCUACUAUCACCAACUAUAAAAGCUACUACCCCUAGUUACAAAAGUUACUACAAAGAGAUUUCCAAUAACCUCUGACGAAGUCAUAAAAGAUACUGUCGUCAGCAACAAAAACUAUUACCGCAAGUAACAAAAGCUACUACCACCAUCAACAAAAACUACUACCACAAUCAACAAAUUAAAACUAUUACCUCCAAACAAAACCAAUAGCUAAUGUUUUCGGCAACAAAAUCUACUACCAAGCAUAAUGAAAGCUAUUACCAAUGUGUCAAAAAUAGACAAUCACAGUGGGGAAAAUAUACUAUCACAAUGAUGAAAAUGUACUAUCGCAUUGUUCAAAAUAUACUAUCAUACAAUGAGGCCGAAACAUACUUAUGAAUCUCAUUUCAUUCAUCUCCCACAUUAUCAGAACAUGAUUCUGUGCAUGAUUUCUCACACUCACUAUCAAAUUAACAGAAAACAUCAUCCUAAUCUUUGUUUACAUUUUCUAAAAACCAAAGAAACGAAUUGUAGCAAAUUUACACUCAGAAUUUUACCAGAACAGUCACCUCCAGGCGAUAUCUUUGAAGCGGCGUCGUCCAGGACUUGUCAUCGAGUCAGCAGCGGAGUCCAAGCUGUACGGAUCUCGAAUCGCCAGCAGAAGGCGAUCAUAGCCGUCAAGGACCAGACGAGCCACGGGAUGAGCCGGCGAGCCAUCUGGUUUCAGAGAUCCCGUCGAGGUCAAAUCAGAAGUUGUCAUCGAUGGAAUUGGACGUAAUAGACGUCGAGGUCAGGAGCGACGUCGAGGUCGAGGCGUCGUCGUCGAGCCGGCAGCGUCGAGGUCGAGGUCGAGGUCGAGGUCGAGGUCAAGGCGUCGUCGUCGAUCUCGCGACAUCGAGGUCGAGGCGUUGUCGAUCUGGCAACAUUGAGGUCGAGGCGUCGUCGUUGAGCCGGCGGCAUCGAGGUCGAGGUCAAGGCUUUGUCGUCGAUCUGGCGACGUCGAGGUUGAGCCUGCUUCCUCGUCAUCUAUCAAGCGGUGCCAAGCCAUCGUCGUCGAGCUGGUGUUGGCCUGAGACGCCGCCAUGGCCGGAUAUUCGAGACCGGAGAAGAGAGGGUGGAGGAACACGAAGAGAGAGAGAGAGAGAGAGAGAGAGAGAGAGAGAGAGAGAGAGAGAGAGAGAGAGAGAGAGAGAGAGAGAGAGAGAGAGAGAGAGAGAGAGAGAGAUGGAGAGAAGUGAAAAGGACGUGAGAAGAAGAGAGAAAAAUUUAUUUGCAGGGAAAUAGGGUAUUUUAGGAACAUCGUAAAUAUAAAAUGACAGGUUUAGGUUUAAAAGUGGACUUAUAUGGGUAAAAAUAAUAAGGUGGACUUGUGUUACAAAAAAUGUUACGAAAGUGACUUUAGUGAAAUUUUCUAAUUUUAAAACUAAAAAAUGGUCAUUAAACAAAUAUCUUUCUAAUAUUUAAUUGUUUCAUUUCAAGUUAUUGUUACCGAUCAACUUGAUUGUCUGUAAAGAUGUACCAGACAGACAGUGUCUUCUGUUCCAAAGUUCACCCUGCCUCUAAUGCUCAUAAAAUAUUUGAAUUGCUUGCGUACCUAAUGCUAUGGAAACAAUAUCUAGUUUUGACGUUUUGGAUCUGUUAUAGGAGGAGAGCAACCUUGUCAAAAAAGUCAUUAAACAAAUAUCUUUUCAUUGUUUAACUGCUUCCAAUAUCUCACUUGCUUAUGUGCUACCUAAUGCCAUGUAAUGAAAUAGGUAGCUUUGAUGUUUUGGAUAUGUUAUAGGAAGGGAACAGCUAUAUAUGCAGAGUCCUUUCAUGCAAUAUCCAAGAGCCUUCAUGUUGAUUUACUAUUUGCUGAUUGGUCAAUAUCACGUUAAUCAUAUUACUCUUAUCCUAUCACAAUUUCAAUAUACAUGAGAAAAAGCUAAGUAACAUUUGGUCUAGCGGCAUAGUCUUCUUUUAGUAAGCAGGAGGUUGUAAGUUUGACUCACGAAAUACUAAUUGUAGUAUUUAAGUUGUUUACCAGAUCAAAAAUAAAACAUACAUGAGAAAAAAGAAUUGAAAGAAAGCCCCAUGAAAAAUAUGAAAAUUUUUGUUACCUCAUAGCUAGCUAUCAAUUGAUUGGUAUUGUAAGUAAUUCUAUCAACAGAAGUAGAGCAAAAAACGACUCCACGUCGAUGGGGUAUCGCCAUGGAAGCUUCGAAGAAAUGAACAUCCCCGUAUUGUAAGUAGGGUUUGUCUAGUAUCACCUUCAGAAUCCACAUCCACACGCAGCCUCAGAUAAGAGCUUCUUCCGUAAACGUUAAUUAACGCGUUGAUUUUUGUUUACCCACCCAACGCGUUCUCGCCAUAUCUCCUUCCUUAUUAUACACAAUCCCUCUCAGCACACCAUUUCCUUGAUCAUUUCCCACUUUCCCUCUUCCCCUUAUAUAAACCUCUCACUUCUCCUCACCUUUCUCACAUUCCACUCUUCUUUUACCUCUUUCGUUUCAUUCACUAGUUUUCCACAAAGUCUUCUCUCUUAUCUUAGCUUCAGCUUCCAUGUCGGAGAAACAAGCAGGCUUGAAUGGCUCCUACUACGGCCCAUCCAUCCCGCCCAAGAGGGACUCCUACCAAAGCGUCGGCCGCGGCGGAGGUCCCCUCGGCUGCUGCUGCAGCUGCAUCUUCGGCCUCGUCUUCAAGCUCAUCUUCACCGCCAUCGUCUUCAUGGGACUCGCCUUCUUCGUCUUCUGGCUCAUAGUUAAACCUAACCGCGUCAAGUUUCACGUCACCGACGCCACUCUCACCCAAUUCAACUUCUCCUCUGACAGCAACCUCCACUACAACCUCGCCCUCAACCUCACCAUCCGAAACCCUAACAAGAAGCUCGGCAUCUACUACGAUCGCAUCGAGGCCAGAGCCAACUACGAGGGCCAGAGGUUCAGCACGAUCACUCUCACCCCGUUUUACCAAGGACACAAAACCACCAACGUUUUGAACCCUCUGUUUACUGGACAGCAGUUGCUUGUUGGGUCCAAUUUGCAGUCGGAGUAUCAGAAGCAGACCAGUGCUGGGGUAUACGAGAUUGAGAUGAAGCUUUAUCUGAGGAUUAGGUUCAAGUUCGGUCGGAUCAAGACCGGAAAGUUCAAAC
rnacentral:lncRNA from 1 species